rnacentral:rRNA from 1 species
AGAAUCAACGCUGGCGGCGUGCCUAACACAUGCAAGUCGCACGAGAAAGGGUAGCAAUACCUGAGUAAAGUGGCGCACGGGUGAGUAACACGUGAAUAAUCUACCUCCGAGUGGGGAAUAACCUAGAGAAAUCUGGGCUAAUACCGCAUAACACUUACGAGUCAAAGCAGCAAUGCGCUUGGAGAGGAGUUCGCGGCAGAUUAGCUAGUUGGCGGGGUAAUGGCCCACCAAGGCGAUGAUCUGUAUCCGGCCUGAGAGGGCGCACGGACACACUGGAACUGAAACACGGUCCAGACUCCUACGGGAGGCAGCAGUGGGGAAUUUUGCGCAAUGGGGGAAACCCUGACGCAGCAACGCCGCGUGGAGGAUGAAAUCCCUUGGGAUGUAAACUCCUUUCGAUAGGGAAGAUAAUGACGGUACCUAUAGAAGAAGCCCGGCUAACUUCGCGCCAGCAGCCGC